rnacentral:rRNA from 1 species
UACGUAGGGGGCGAGCGUUGUCCGGAUUUAUUGGGCGUAAAGAGCGUGUAGGCGGCCAAGUAGGUCCGUUGUGAAAACUCGAGGCUCAACCUCGAGACGUCGAUGGAAACCAUCUGGCUAGAGUCCGGAAGAGGAGAGUGGAAUUCCUGGUGUAGCGGUGAAAUGCGCAGAUAUCAGGAAGAACACCUAUGGCGAAGGCAGCUCUCUGGGACGGUACUGACGCUGAGACGCGAAAGCGUGGGGAGCGAACAGG